AUUGAACGCUGGCGGAAUGCUUUACACAUGCAAGUCGAACGGUAGAGGGGGCAACCCCCUUGAGAGUGGCGAACGGGUGAGUAAUAUAUCGGAACGUGCCCAGUCGUGGGGGAUAACGUAGCGAAAGUUACGCUAAUACCGCAUACGAUCUAAGGAUGAAAGCGGGGGAUCGCAAGACCUCGCGCGAUUGGAGCGGCCGAUAUCAGAUUAGGUAGUUGGUGAGGUAAAGGCUCACCAAGCCAACGAUCUGUAGCUGGUCUGAGAGGACGACCAGCCACACUGGAACUGAGACACGGUCCAGACUCCUACGGGAGGCAGCAGUGGGGAAUUUUGGACAAUGGACGCAAGUCUGAUCCAGCCAUUCCGCGUGCAGGAUGAAGGCCCUCGGGUUGUAAACUGCUUUUGUACGGAACGAAAAGGUCUGGGUUAAUACCCUGGGCUCAUGACGGUACCGUAAGAAUAAGCACCGGCUAACUACGUG
rnacentral:rRNA from 1 species